rnacentral:ribozyme from 1 species
GGGUUGGGCUGUCUGCAUUCUCCAAAACUGAAGCAAGCAGCCAAACGGUAAGAGAAAAAUAGAAAAAAAGAAGGUGAAAAGGGAGAGAUAGUUUUCA